AACGAACGCUGGCGGCAUGCUUAAUACAUGCAAGUCGAGCGAACAGAUGAAGUGCUUGCACUUCUGACGUUAGCGGCGAACGGGUGAGUAACACGUAAGGAAUCUACCUAUAAGCGGGGGAUAACAUUCGGAAACGGGUGCUAAUACCGCAUAAUAUCUUCUUCCGCAUGGAAGAAGAUUGAAAGACGGCUCUGCUGUCACUUAUAGAUGACCUUGCGGUGCAUUAGUUAGUUGGUGGGGUAAAGGCCUACCAAGACGAUGAUGCAUAGCCGACCUGAGAGGGUGAUCGGCCACAUUGGGACUGAGACACGGCCCAAACUCCUACGGGAGGCAGCAGUAGGGAAUCUUCCGCAAUGGGCGAAAGCCUGACGGAGCAAUGCCACGUGAGUGAAGAAGGCCUUCGGGUCGUAAAACUCUGUUAUAAGAGAAGAACAAAUUGUAGAGUAACUGCUACAGUCUUGACGGUAUCUUAUCAGAAAGCCACGGCUAACUACGUGCCAGCCGCCGCUGUAA
rnacentral:rRNA from 1 species